UACAGAGGAUGCAAGCGUUAUCCGGAAUGAUUGGGCGUAAAGCGUCUGUAGGUGGCUUUUUAAGUCCGCCGUCAAAUCCCAGGGCUCAACUCUGGACAGGCGGUGGAAACUACCAAGCUGGAGUUCGGGAGAGGAGAGUGGAAUUCCCAGUGUAGAGGUGAAAUUCGUAGAUAUUGGGAAGAACACCGGUGGCGAAGGCGGCUCUCUGGACCGAAACUGACGCUGAGGCGCGAAAGCGCGGGGAGCAAACAGG
rnacentral:rRNA from 1 species